GGAGGUAUCUAUAUGAAGAAAUUAUUUAGCAUCGAUA
rnacentral:sRNA from 1 species